GACGAACGCUGGCGGCGUGCUUAACACAUGCAAGUCGAACGGAAAGGCUCCUGCUUGCAGGGGUACUCGAGUGGCGAACGGGUGAGUAACACGUGGGUGAUCUGCCUUGUACUCUGGGAUAAGCUUGGGAAACUGGGUCUAAUACCGGAUAAUAACUGCCUUUAGUGUGGUGGUUGGAAAGUUUUUUCGGUGCAAGAUGAGCUCGCGGCCUAUCAGCUUGUUGGUGGGGUAAUGGCCUACCAAGGCGUCGACGGGUAGCCGGCCUGAGAGGGUGUACGGCCACAUUGGGACUGAGAGACGGCCCAGACUCCUACGGGAGGCAGCAGUGGGGAAUAUUGCACAAUGGGCGGAAGCCUGAUGCAGCGACGCCGCGUGGGGGAUGACGGCCUUCGGGUUGUAAACUCCUUUCGACAGGGACGAAGCUUUUUGUGACGGUACCUGUAUAAGAAGCACCGGCUAACUACGUG
rnacentral:rRNA from 1 species